CCUCCGGUCGGGAUCGACCCAGAAGACAGCGUAGGCCUUGAGGUCACCGUUUUUCCAGUUAACGUUCUUGAGGUGCUUGGCGGAGACUAUGGUGAGCUCUAGAUCGAGAGACUUCGGCGGUGGCGGACGAGAAGAGGCCAUGAUGCUAACGUGUGCCGGGUAGGUUAUGGGGUGCGUCAGAUAAGAAAGGAGAGAGCGAGAGAAAUGUGGCUAAUAGGGAGUGGGUGCGGAAUAUUGUG
rnacentral:misc_RNA from 1 species